rnacentral:rRNA from 2 species
GCACCAGUGGGGAAUAUUGGGCAAUGGAGGGAACUCUGACCCAGCGACGCCGCGUGCGGGAUGAAGGCCUUCGGGUUGUAAACCGCUUUCAGCAAGGAAGAAGCGAAAGUGACGGUACUUGCAGAAGAAGCACCGGCUAACUAUGUGCCAGCAGCCGCGGUAAUACAUAGGGUGCAAGCGUUGUCCGGAAUUAUUGGGCGUAAAGAGCUCGUAGGUGGUUCGUCACGUCGGAUGUGAAAAUCUGGGGCUUAACCCCAGACCUGCAUUCGAUACGGGCGAGCUAGAGUGUGGUAGGGGAGACUGGAAUUCCUGGUGUAGCGGUGGAAUGCGCAGAUAUCAGGAGGAACACCAAUGGCGAAGGCAGGUCUCUGGGCCAUUACUGACACUGAGGAGCGAAAGCGUGGGGAGCGAACAGGAUUAGAUACCC